GACUACUCGGGUAUCUAAUCCUGUUUGCUCCCCACGCUUUCGUGCCUCAGCGUCAGUUACGGUCCAGAUAGCCGUCUACACCUCAGGUGUUCCUCCUGAUAUCUACGCAUUUCACCGCUACACCAGGAAUUCCACUAUCCUCUCCCGCACUCUAGCUGACCAGUUUUCGACGCACCCUCCCAGUUAAGCCGGGAGAUUUCACAUCAAACUUAGCCAACCGCCUACGCACUCUUUACGCCCAGUAAUUCCGAACAACGCUUGCUGCCUACGUAUUACCGCGGCUGCUGGCACGUAGUUAGCCGCAGCUGCUUCUGCAGGUACCGUCAUUAUCGUCCCUGCCGAAAGAACUUUACACCCCGAAGGGCUUCAUCGUUCACGCGGCGUCGCUGCAUCAGGGUUUCCCCCAUUGUGCAAGAUUCCCCACUGCAGCCCCCCGUAGG
rnacentral:rRNA from 1 species